GGGUGAAGAACGUGAAGAAUACAUACCAAAAGAAUUUCACUACUGUCCAAUCAAAUCCGAUCAUUGCAUAAACGAUAAUACUAUACAUAAUACACUCCAACUUGUGCAAGAGCAUUAUAUGGUAUUUCUACCAAUACCUUUUUAGAGAAAAGAAGAGGGACUUGCUUAACAUAUAUGGUACAAAUAAGAAAAUUCAAUUUAUCCGGGAACGUCAUAUCCAC
rnacentral:lncRNA from 1 species